AUGCCACCUGGAUGCGGGGCGGGGGGACUUGCGAGGGGUGUGCUGGGGGGCAUCACACGGGGCCUUGGGGGCGUGGGCAGAGACCCCCAGCCCCACAGCUCAGAGGACAUGGGCGGCUCUGGGGGUGUAGCAGCCGACCAGGGGAGGCAUCUCAGCCUUGCGCUGAGUCCAGGCCCAUCCUCCUGUCUGCCUGCCUUCCCGCACAGCCCUCCGCAGGGCCCAGCACGAAGGCACUCCUGGGUGUGGGGUCCCCUCUGCUUGGCAGCUCCUGCCCCUUCGUGGGGCUCACCCGUCAGGCAGGCGCCAGGCUCCCUGCAGAUGAUCUGGCAUGUCUGUCCCCCACUGGCCCUAACACUCUGCAGCCUCCGCCUGUGUCCAGAUCCCUGCCUGAAUCGCUCCUCCCCAGACCCUCGCCACCCACCCCCGUGCCCCGCACCCCCUCCUCAGCGUCUCCACCGCCCGCCUGAAACAGGCACGCAGCCCUCCUCCACGGUCUCUGUCCCUCCCGCACGUGGGUGUCCUGGGGGCAGGCGCUGUGUCUGCCUGGCUUUCUGCAUGUGCCCAGAACCUGCAUGCAGAAGGCGCUGGAUAAACACUGUGUCAGCUGGAGGGGCACCUGCCCACCGUCGAGCCUCGCCCCCCUCCAGCAGCCUGGCGCUGCGGCCUGGACUCAGCAAAGCUCCCCGUCGGGCCAUUUGCAUCCUCACGGAAAGUUUCACUACUCAGAGUGCAGAACAGGAGCAAGCGACCGAGAAACACCUGCUGAGCUGAAACCACCACCCGGGCACCCUGUGCCCACCCGGCGGGUGGCCUCCACCUGCACUCACUGGACGGACAGACCAGCACCUCAGGCUGCGAGUCACACCGAGCUCCCCUCCCCACCUUCCCAGCCAGGCUGUCGUCUCCCAGCCGACUUUGGGGGACUUCUCUGGGUUGCUGAUACCCAGAGUGAAGGCCAGAGGCAUUUCCGAGGUACAGAGGGUCAGAGUGAGGCCGGGUCAGGAUGGAAGAGGGCCCCAGG
rnacentral:lncRNA from 1 species